GGGUACAUGGUCUAGUGGUAUGAUUUUCGCCCCGCACUAAUGUGCUUCAGUGAAAGGUCCCCGGUUCGAUCCCGGGUGUAUCCA